AGCGAACGCUGGCGGCAGGCUUAACACAUGCAAGUCGAACGGGCAUCUUCGGAUGUCAGUGGCAGACGGGUGAGUAACACGUGGGAACGUACCCUUCGGUUCGGAAUAACUCAGGGAAACUUGAGCUAAUACCGGAUACGCCCUUUUGGGGAAAGGUUUACUGCCGAAGGAUCGGCCCGCGUCUGAUUAGCUUGUUGGUGGGGUAACGGCCUACCAAGGCGACGAUCAGUAGCUGGUCUGAGAGGAUGAUCAGCCACACUGGGACUGAGACACGGCCCAGACUCCUACGGGAGGCAGCAGUGGGGAAAAUUGGACAAUGGGCGCAAGCCUGAUCCAGCCAUGCCGCGUGAGUGAUGAAGGCCUUAGGGUUGUAAAGCUCUUUUGUCCGGGACGAUAAUGACGGUACCGGAAGAAUAAGCCCCGGCUAACUUCGUG
rnacentral:rRNA from 1 species